GACGAACGCUGGCGGCGUGCUUAACACAUGCAAGUCGAGCGGAAAGGCCCUUCGGGGUACUCGAGCGGCGAACGGGUGAGUAACACGUGAGUAACCUGCCCUAGGCUUUGGGAUAACCCCGGGAAACCGGGGCUAAUACCGGAUAUGACCUGGUGCCGCAUGGUGUUGGGUGGGAAGUUUUUGCGGCUUGGGAUGGGCUCGCGGCCUAUCAGCUUGUUGGUGGGGUGAUGGCCUACCAAGGCGAUGACGGGUAGCCGGCCUGAGAGGGCGACCGGCCACACUGGGACUGAGACACGGCCCAGACUCCUACGGGAGGCAGCAGUGGGGAAUAUUGCACAAUGGGCGGAAGCCUGAUGCAGCGACGCCGUGUGAGGGAUGAAGGCCUUCGGGUUGUAAACCUCUUUCAGCAGGGACGAAGCGUGAGUGACGGUACCUGCAGAAGAAGCGCCGGCCAACUACGUG
rnacentral:rRNA from 1 species